CACACCACACCUAGUGUGUGCGUGUGUGAGGUCGACCAGGAGAAAGCUCAGGGAGCUCAAACCCUAACUUCCACAACUUGAUCAAAUUGAAGCCCAAAUCAAGAGCCAAAUCACUGCAUGAACACAAAUUCGUGAUCACCUAAUCAUGGGGAUUACAAGUUUGACGCGUCACAAGCUAGGUGGAAGCUUGGAGUGAAAGCGGGUCAAACAAGGCAAGCAUGGAAGAAAGGCGUAGCUCGGAUGCAAGGUACUUGUGGAAGCCGGAAGACGAUCAAGCUCAACGAAGAAC